rnacentral:rRNA from 1 species
AGUGAACGCUGGCGGUAGGCCUAACACAUGCAAGUCGAACGGCAGCACAGAGGAGCUUGCUCCUUGGGUGGCGAGUGGCGGACGGGUGAGGAAUACAUCGGAAUCUACUCUGUCGUGGGGGAUAACGUAGGGAAACUUACGCUAAUACCGCAUACGACCUACGGGUGAAAGCAGGGGAUCUUCGGACCUUGCGCGAUUGAAUGAGCCGAUGUCGGAUUAGCUAGUUGGCGAGGUAAAGGCCCACCAAGGCGACGACCCGUAGCUGGUCUGAGAGGACGAUCAGACACACUGGAACUGAGACACGGUCCAGACUCCUACGGGAGGCAGCAGUGGGGAAUAUUGGACAAUGGGCGCAAGCCUGAUCCAGCCAUACCGCGUGGGUGAAGAAGGCCUUCGGGUUGUAAAGCCCUUUUGUUGGGAAAGAAAUCCAUCUGGUUAAUACCCGGGUGGGAUGACGGUACCCAAAGAAUAAGCACCGGCUAACUUCGUGCCAGCCGCCGCGGUAA